rnacentral:lncRNA from 12 species
ACCACAAUUAGACAUGCCUAGGAAACCUGUUUUAUAUGUUUAAGAUAAUAAAGACCCCAAAAGUGUUUUUCUAGGAUACUCUCUGUCCUCAUCCCAUCCAUUUAAGCACCGUCUUAUCUAAAAUUUUGCAAGUUCUUCCUUAAAUUCAUAGAAACACAUUGCUCCUGGUCACAUUACCCUGUACUUGAACUUAAAAAAGAUUAACUAUUGGAGGGACGCCUGAGUGGCUCAGUGGUUAACCAACCGUCUGCCUUCAGCCCAGGGCGUGAUCCUGGAGACCUGGGAUCGAGUCCCAUGUCGGGAUCCCUGCAUGGAGCCUGCUUCUUCCUCUGCCUGUGUCUCUGCCUCUCUGUGUGUGUGUGUGUGUCUCUAAUGAAUAAAUUUAAAAAAAAUUUAAAUAACCACUGGAAAGCAUUAUAAUAAUGUUACAAAAUAUAGUAAAAGCAGAUGAUGUAAGAGAUAAAAGUAUGUCAAACUAAAAAUUGUACCAAGAACUGGUCAUCAAAGUUUAAACAAGUUGGAAUUAAUAAAUUAAACUUUUAAAAAGUUCUUUUUUUUCCAUUUCUUUUUCAUAUUUCUCAGUGUAUAAUCUGGAAACUUCAAGUUACAUAGCCACUCCCAGGAUGUGAUACAUGUGUCCACAUCACCUGACAGACAGCAUUCACUUAAAUCAGUUGAAAGCAAAGACAAAAGCUCAAUUGUACGUCCUUCAUUCAAUCAGAUGGCAAUACACUUGCGCUCAAAUGGCAGCUACUCACCUCUCAGUUUUCAUUUCAAGAAUCAAGGAAAAGAAUGUACAUUUAUGAAAUGAUAAUACCUAACCAUCAACUUUUCUUUCAAGUACUAUAACCUAAGGGUGAGCAUUGAAAAGUCAGAGUCAAUAGUAUAAUUACUAUAAAAAAGUGAUUUUAACUUGAAAUUUUCCAAACAUCGUUCAAUAUACAGAUGAAUCUAAUUGAAAUUAUUACAUUGUUCUUUAUAUUAUUACCAUUAUUUUAUUUGAAUUUUUUUUCUCAGAAUCUAUCCUCUUAUUUGCAUGCUACAAACCUAAUGAUCUCACUUGUCCUUUGAAGCCAUAUGACAUGUCCUUCUUUAGGGCAUCAGGUAAAGUUCAAGUCAAGAGGUUUUUAAAUGCCACAUAAAUACAAAAUAAUAAAAAGAGAAACUGCCACUUGUGUUUGAUGACU